rnacentral:rRNA from 1 species
UAAGGAAUAUUGGUCAAUGGACGCAAGUCUGAACCAGCCAUGCCGCGUGAAGGAUGAAGGUCCUCUGGAUUGUAAACUUCUUUUAUCUGGGACGAAAACGGGAUUUUUGUCUCAAUUGACGGUACCAGAGGAAUAAGCACCGGCUAACUCCGUGCCAGCAGCCGCGGUAAUACGGAGGGUGCGAGCGUUAUCCGGAUUUACUGGGUUUAAAGGGUGCGUAGGUGGGCUUAUAAGUCAGUGGUGAAAUCUCCGAGCUUAACUUGGAAACUGCCGUUGAUACUAUAGGUCUUGAAUUAUCUGGAGGUAAGCGGAAUAUGUCAUGUAGCGGUGAAAUGCUUAGAUAUGACAUCGAACACCAAUUGCGAAGGCAGCUUACUACAUAUAAAUUGACGCUGAGGCACGAAAGCGUGGGGAUCAAACA